AGUGUGCCUGGCCACAAGCAACUCAACCCCCUUGGAUGGGUGCCUGUACAUCAAGCACAAAUAGCGGCCCUCAUACUUACUCCACGGAAGAUAUGGCAUACAACUCUGGUAAAUAUGGAUCAUUUGGCUUCAAGAAGAAUACCACAGUUAUGGGAGUUGAGGGAGCAAAUUUACGCUAUGGAAAAAAACAAGUUGAUCGACCACAUAGCAUCGAUACUGUUCCCCAAACACAGACAAAGUUUGGUUUUGGUGGACCUAGACGUCCAACAUCAUUGACAACAGAUGCAAAUCAAAACCCAGAGUCAAUCACAGGUGAAAUACCUCAGUCAUCAAGUAUGAACAAAUUUGGGUUCAGGGGAACAAAAACUGAAAAGUUACGAAAUCACCAGAAUUUCAACAAACGUCCAGUUGAUGAUGUUAUAGAGAAUGUCUGGGUAACAAAUGGUGAUGACAUUCUCGAGGAAGAACCAGACACAUCUGGCAAUGUAGUCUUAAAGCCAAGAAUGACAAACUCUCUCCCCAAUAAGAAAUUUGUAUCAGCACUUAAAGGACCUAGAAUUAAGGCUUGCAAUACAUCUGGUGCUUUAGUUAAUGGGAUUGAUAGAAACAAUGUGAGUGAUAAUGAAUCAAACCAUAGCUUGAGUAAUGGAUCCAUAAGAGAUAAUGUAUCAGAGAAAGGGAGUUUGCGUAGCAGUAGAAGUGUACAAUCUGGACUGAGUCGACCAUUAGACCAUGAUAGGAUAUCCAUUACCAGCAGUCAAAGUUCUGGCAAUAUACAUACAUCCACUAUGACUCAUCCAAAGAACAAUGAGAAAAAUGGAUUAUCAAGUCGCAUGAAACUCCCUAGUCAGUUUUCGCAGAGUAGAAUCAAACCUUGUUCUGAGACGGACAUCGAUAUUGUCAGUACUCCACAUGGUAACAUUAUAGAACAAAAUGAAGGCAGUCCUUAUGAAGUGCAAUCGGGGAUUAAUAAUGUUGAUCCUGACAAGGAAACAGGAGAUGUUUAUAAUAAAACAAAAACAGAACUCAUAGGGCGUGUGAGAACAAUAUCUGUUGACUCUGAUAAAUCGUUUGAUGCCAGCAGGAGGGUUUUCACCCCUAGGAAGGGUCCCCUAGCUAACCUGAAGGCCCCUAUAGCAUCUAUAGACUAUAUAGAUUCUAGUUCUGUGAGUAGUAUCAACUCAGAUGACCUUAUGUUAGAUGUGGAUGUUGAACUUGAAGAUGAUACAUUCACAAGAGAGAGAAAUACACGAAAUUCUAAAGUGUCGCGAAUAGAUGGUGCUGAUGCCAGUAUUGCAACAGCUGACUCUGGUUAUGACACCCUUAAUAACACAUUCACGAUUUCAGCUGAACAACUUGCCAAAAAUAACGACCUUGAUAAGGCUCGCAAUGAUAGUGAAAAGGAUAAAAACAAUGUUGGUCACCUUGGUAACCAAUCCAGUGUUGGUAUAGCAACAAAUAUAGAUCAGGUACAAAGUGGAAGUGAUAGUACAGUAGCAAUAAGAGACUCAGCAGGUACAAUGGAAGCAUCUAGUUCCAGACCAAGUAGACUAGCCAUACCUAAAAGCAGGUUGCAGGCCCCUAGCAGAGUUCCAGGUCAUCUCCCUAGGCAGUCUUCCCUUCCUGCUCCAGGCUUUACCAACAAACUGUCCACACUGCAGCCCCCAAUCCCAUCCAGCCAGAGUCAGCCUGCAGAUAUAUCAACCCAGCAGCGCCCUUCAGUGGGAAGGCCCGUUGUAGGACCCAGUAGUAAAGCUAGUGCCCCAGCUAGACAGGGGUCUCAAGGAGUUCAAUUGAGACAAAAUGGUGGUAUUCAUAACAAAAAUAAUUUGGAAUUAGCAGAUAAAAGGAACAGUUUUAAUAUGAAUUUGGUCAUGCCAAAAAUGGACACAGCUUCCAGCCAAAAACCACACAUUCCAGUUGCAAAGACAGUCUCUGCUCAGAGUAGUCGGGGUAAACAAAAGCAACAACUGAAGGAGCAAAAACAACAACAGCAAAAAGAACAAAAGCAACAACAGUCAUUCACACGUGCAUCCCCCAAACAAACACAGCAACAAUCUGGAGCAUCAAAAUUGAUGUCAAAAUUAAGAUUCUCCUUUUCAUCCAAAAAAUCAGAGAAAGACAAACAGAACACUAAUACCCAGGCCACUAAGAAGCUACCUUCCACUGCUGAAAAAGCCAUAGCGGAGGAAAGGAAAGCCCAUAGGCCUACAAUAUCCCAACCUUCUGCAGCAGUACCUCCCCCACACCCCAGUCUACCUGUGACAGAAGAGGCAUCACCAGACCCACUUCUGUCAAUAUCCCCUCUGCCAAGUUUAGAGUCACUAAAAGCAAAAACAGAUGAACCAGUAAUAACUCCGAUGAAGCAUUCCAAUGAACAAUCCUCCCCAACCAAACCAAACAACCUAACACUUGACAUUACAUUCACACCCGAAGAACCUCACAUACACAGUCCAGAUACACAAUGCAUCAAGAAUCCUGAGUUAACUCGUGUCCAGCAUGACUCAGAAUCAGGGCGACAUAGGAGGAUAAGUGGACACAGUCUGAGUUGUGGACCUGAACAUAGGAGGUCAUGUAGUGAUGAUGAUUAUGUGAUAGUCGAUGGUGUGGAACACAGGAAUAUGCUCAAUGAACUCACCAUAUGUAAAACUAUGCUUUACAAACUUAAGAGGGCAUUACAGGAGGGUCAGCCUUGUACUCCAACAGAAGAAACUGUUCCAACUUCCCCACAUGAAAAUGCUCUCCGUGAAGAAAAUGCACAGCUACGUGAAAUGCUUGAAGCAUACAAGCAAGAGAUUGAACAGCGGGAUAGAAUGAUUGAACUUAUGCAUGAACAAAUGGCCAGCAUGAGUGGGGCAUACAUUGGCAAACGCAUCUUGAAGCCCUACUCAGAUGACAGACAAGUGCAGACUAUGAGGUACAGGAGUGAAAUAAGUUCUAGUAUCCAAGAUAGGAUUUGACCACAUAGUGCCUGUAGGAUAUCCUCAUUAAUGAUGCAUAGAAGUCUCACCAGAUGAUAGUAUUUAUGAUGAUGACAAUUAGGAUGAUGACAAUUAAAAUGACCAACUAUACCAACUAAGGAUUUUAUCUUUUGAUUGCUGAAUUGAUUCUGGAGCUCUAUGGUCAGAGGAUCUAGGAUAUAUAUCAUGUUAGCAACAGUGCUGAAGUAAAGCAGACCGAGGAUUUUAUGCCUAUUAGAUACCAGCACAAAGUAUAUUGGAUGCACUGUUUAGCACAGUGUAUAUUGUAUAUAUCUUUUUAUUGACUCUAUACAUACUUAGCAAAAUCAUUGUAUUAGAAUCAAUAGAAGAGUAGCAGGACUAUAUGGAUUCUGGUUAUGAAAUAGAAUGAUAUCCAUAACAUAUCAAUUCCUUCUUUCUAUAGACCUCCCAAGGCUGGCCUUUAUUGACAAGAAGUCAUCAAUCAUACUGAACUUAUAGUUAUUGCUUAUUAUAUAUUAUAUACAUGAUAUAAGGGGAGCAUGCUACAUGCUGUAUCAGCUGUUAGAAAAGCAACAGGAAAACACUUUAUAACUUAGUAUUUUUAGCAGUGUGCAAAAUACAGUUCUUUGUCACAUUACUGUCCUAUUUAUAGCUUGUAUAACAUGUUCUUAUGUUAUGGUGAUUUAGCAGUCUCCAUGGUGCAAUUUUUGUAUUUAUAUCAUUUUAGAAAAAUGUAUUAGACAAUUAUUUAUUUACUUUCUGUGGUAUUUUGCUGUAUUAGUCCUGUCGAAGUAACAUUUGACCCAAAACUAAUUGCAAUAGUAAUAAAAUGUUGUUUUUUCAAUUCAUAUAAACAUAUGAAAUGACAUAGUAAAAAUCUACCAAAAUAUAUUUCGUGGAACAUGUAAAAAAAUCAUUUUUGGUACCCCCUCCCCUUGAAAAAUAGACCCCCAAAGGACAAAAUUAUUUUUCAAAUGCCUGCAAUUUUUUGAAAGUAAUUUUACAAUUUCUUGCUUGUAAUAAGGUAUCCCGAUCUGUGUAACUCUUUAACUUUGGUAUUCAGAGUGAAUAAGAAUAUUUUUAACCCAUAUUUAUCUGAAAUUUUGCAUUAAAUGCGCACAUU
rnacentral:misc_RNA from 1 species